CUCAUUGAUGCACCUUCAGCCACAGGGCCUGCCAAGGAUGUGGCUGCAACGGACACUCGACAAAUUAAUUUGCUGCACACUCCUGCACGCAGCUGCCUCGAAUUGUUGGGUACUUGCUCCUUGAUGGCACUGUCCUUGAUGCUUGCUCAGCACUUGGUGGAGAGUUUAGAGCGAGGAUAUCCUGUGUUUGUCGAGGCGUAUGCGACAGAUUGUAUUUUUCUAUAGAAGAUUCCAAGUUUAACUGAGAAAUGUACUCUAGAAUUUCU
rnacentral:lncRNA from 1 species